rnacentral:rRNA from 1 species
AUACGGAGGGUGCAAGCGUUAAUCGGAAUUACUGGGCGUAAAGCGUACGUAGGCGGUUCGUUAAGUUAGAUGUGAAAGCCCCGGGCUUAACCUGGGAACUGCAUUUAAAACUGGCGAACUAGAGUUGAGUAGAAGGGAGUGGAAUUUCAGGUGUAGCGGUGAAAUGCGUAGAGAUCUGAAGGAACACCAGUGGCGAAGGCGACUCCCUGGACUCGAACUGACGCUGAGGUACGAAAGCGUGGGUAGCAAACGGGAUUAGAAACCCUUGUAGUCC